rnacentral:lncRNA from 1 species
AUCACUAGCUGCUAGGAGGUAGCAAGUAUCAGCUUACUCUUUUGGUGGGAGAAGAGGCAUGAUGGGAAGAAGCAGCCUGACCUUUGUUGGGAAAAGUUAGAUUUUAACAUGGAGGCUGCUAUCCCAUGUGGCAGCCAUCUUAAGGCAAGGGAAAUGUAACAUUCCAGGCUUUUUGUUUAUGGUUACUGGGCAAAGGCCUCUUCUUCUGGAGCUGCUUCAAGCUGACAAAGGGGAGAAGGCUGGCUAUGGAAGAGGCAGUUGUAUCUAUGACUCAGGAUGAAGUCUGGGGAUUCCAGUGUCUCACUGGGCAUCGGAAAUUCCUGACUGGUGAACACCCUUCAAGUAGUGGGAUAUCAAUUAUUCAAUGCUCUUUCACCACCAGCUGGAGGGUAACAGUGAUUAUGACCAUUAUAUAAAAUUCAAAAGGCAUAAAAAGAUAUACCACAAAAAAGUAAGUCUCCUUCUUAUCUCCCAAAGCUUCCAAUUCCCUUCCCCAGAAGGAAAGAAUAAGUGCUACCACUCAUUUAUGAGUUGAUUAAGAGAUUUGAUGGCCUCUAGAAAGUGGCAGGAAAUAGAAGAACAAAAGCAAAGAGUGCUCAGUCACCAGGCCUCUUCCCGGAAGGUGGCAGAACAGUAUCCAGCAACGAAUCAGCCUCUCCAAGGCUCAGAAUCCAAACACUGGAAAAUAAUAACUUAGGGAAGAAAAGAAACCUCCCGGAAGGUCAGAACAGUAUCCAGCAACGAAUCAGCCUCUCCAAGGCUCAGAAUCCAAACACUGGAAAAUAAUAACUUAGGGAAGAAAAGAAGGAGGGAGGUGGAUCCCUGGGACCCAGGAAGGAUCUGACAGGAAAACUGGAGUCUGCAGAGAAAUUGAAGAGACAGAUCAUAAAGCAGAAAAAGGGAAAGGGUAAUCUGCACCUUUUUCUCUGGCUUCUGGCUCAAGGCUCUUGGCUCCUGUGAGAAAGGAAGAGUGAAUCUACAGAGACACAUUGAAAUCAGGCCAACUCCGGUGGCCUGCAGGGAGAAAUGCAACAGUGGAACCGUAGCAGUGGAUGUUGUGCUACAACAGCUGGUGAGUGACUCCAGCCUCAAUGUCUCUCAUGUCUCGUUAACAGAGUGCUUGAUAGGAC